rnacentral:rRNA from 1 species
GAUGAACGCUGGCGGCGUGCCUAAUACAUGCAAGUCGAGCGAACAGACGAGGAGCUUGCUUCUCUGACGUUAGCGGCGGACGGGUGAGUAACACGUGGAUAACCUACCUAUAAGACUGGGAUAACUUCGGGAAACCGGAGCUAAUACCGGAUAACAUGUUGAACCGCAUGGUUCAACAGUGAAAGACGGUUUUGCUGUCACUUAUAGAUGGAUCCGCGUCGCAUUAGCUAGUUGGUAAGGUAACGGCUUACCAAGGCAACGAUGCGUAGCCGACCUGAGAGGGUGAUCGGCCACACUGGAACUGAGACACGGUCCAGACUCCUACGGGAGGCAGCAGUAGGGAAUCUUCCGCAAUGGGCGAAAGCCUGACGGAGCAACGCCGCGUGAGUGAAGAAGGUCUUCGGAUCGUAAAACUCUGUUAUUAGGGAAGAACAAAUGUGUAAGUAACUAUGCACGUCUUGACGGUACCUAAUCAGAAAGCCACGGCUAACUACGUG